GGUCGCGUGGGUGAGUGGUUUAUACCGCCUCAUUGCUAAUGAGGAGACCAGAUCAAUAAUACUCUGGUUCGCAGGUCCGAAUCCUGCCGCGACCG
rnacentral:tRNA from 1 species